rnacentral:tRNA from 1 species
GCCGUUAUAGCUCAGUUGGUAGAGCGCACCCAUGGUAAGGGUGAGGUCCCCAGUUCAAUCCUGGGUAACGGCUCCA